rnacentral:pre_miRNA from 1 species
AGACUGAGUGCUCAGGGGUCUUGUUAAAAUGCAGAUUCUAAUGCAGAAGGUCUGGGAAGGGCCUGAGAGUCUGCAUUUCUAACAAGCUCUCAGGUGACUCUGAU